CCCAUCUCUACUAAAACAAACAAACAAACAAACAAAAAAGGAAAAUUCUGCCUCUGCCACUUACUAGCUGUGUGAGCUCAGUAGCAGACACCAACCAGGUACUUACCAGCUCUGUGCUUCAGUUUCCUCCCCUAUCAACAGAGAUGAUAAUAGUAGCGCCUAUCUCUACAGGGUUGUUAUGAGACUUAAAUGAGAUAAUCCAAAUAAAGCAGCUGGCCCAGUGCCCAGCACAGAAGUAUUAGAUUUGAUGAUGAGGAAGACAUAGCAGAUGUACUGACUUGGAAUAACAUCCACAGUGUAGGAAAAAACCAAGUUGUGGAACAAUAUAUCCAGCAUUCAACACAGCAGCCAAGAGCCCCGUGUGUCCCCUUUAAAUGCAAAUGAAUUUAAAUAGAAAAUUCAGUUGCUUAACCACACUAGCCACACUUUAAGCACCUGGUAGCACUACAUGGCUCGCAGCUAUGGCACUGGACACACAGAUCUAGGACAUUUUCAUCAUCACAGAAAGUUCUAUUGGACAGCACUGAAUAGCACGAGCCCAUUUUUAUAAUUAAAAAAAAGGGUGUACACUUAUAAAAGCAGCAGAAAUAUUUGGAAGGAAACCAUGCCCCUGCUCUGAAAGAACAGGACGGUAGAGCAAGAAGAAAAUGAAGCAGGCUGGGACUCCCUGAGCAGCGCAGCCCCUUUACAGAAAACCUGUUUGAAGAGGCAUCAAAACUGUUCAUCUUGGCCGGAAGCGGUGGCUCAUGCCUGUAAUCCCAGCACUUCGGGAGGCUGAGAAUCUAAAUCCCAUGAAGACAGGGACACUGCUUUGCUGCCUGCUAUGUCUCCAGCACUUAGAACAGUGCCUGGCACAUCACAGAGCCUCAAUAAUAUUUGCUGAAUGAAUGAGCAGGUGAGUGCCUAUGUAUCACAUGUUGCCCACAGCUCCCUGCUGCCUGGGGUGUGACAACAACCAGGGUGUCCAAAGGACACACAAUUCUCUCUCCGCCAGCCUGGAAUAGCCUUGGAGAUUUCACACUAUUCUAUGGGGGUUCCCUGCCCCUCAAGAAACCUGAUGGCCUAGACCUGAAGCACAGCUUCGCUGGCAGGUUAGAGACCACAGCCAUCACACGGGCCAACAGACAAACCUAACAGAAGCCAGCCCGGAGACCGGGCUCUACCCACACAACCCAUGCCAGGGCUACCCACAGCAAGGCCCCCUGAGCUGGGCAGGAUUCUCUGCUGGGUCACUGCAGACAGAAAAUGAGGAGAGAAAGAGACCAAUUCUAGAGCGUACUUUUUUUGUUUGUUUUGAAGAGGAAACCCAUCAUGAAGGUUACUGAAAAAUUUGGUUAUGGUUAUUUAAGGCUUUCUGGAAUUUCAGUGUGUGGAGAUCAAGCUGACCUUGCUGUAAAAAGCACUGGGGAGGUCGGGCAUAGUGGCUCACACCUGUAAUCCCAGCACUUUUGGAGGCCAAGGUGGGUGGAUCACAUGAGGCCAAGAGUUCAGACCAGUGUGGCCAACAUGGCAAAAUCCUAUGUCCACUGGAAAUACAAGAAUCACCUGGGUGUGGCAGUGCAUGUCUGUAAUCCCAGCUCCUGGAGAGACUGAGGCACUUGAGCUGGGAGGCAAAGGCUGCA
rnacentral:lncRNA from 1 species